rnacentral:tRNA from 1 species
GCCUGGGUGGCUCAGUCGGUUAAGCGUCUGACUUUGGCUCAGGUCAUGAUCUCACAGUUCGUGGGUUCGAGCCCCACAUUGGGCU